AUGACUUCAAGAUCCUCGCAACAAAGUGCGGGACCGAUCAACCUCAGGCUCAGCGGACCCGAUGGUUCCUGCAACGGUACCGUCGCUACCCUCAGCCUUUUCAUCACCAGCCGUUUUGACGCUCGUCGAGCUCGAGUCACCACAGUCAUCAGCAACAACCUCGCCGCCAGCACCAGGUCCCGAAAGGUUGGGGCAAGGGUGCUGCAGCUAUGCCACAACCCCAACGACGGGCCUGACGCCCACUCUCUCAGGGACUUUUCUACCUUCACUACUACUGCCACUGCCAUGCCUUUCCUAGGCUCUGACCAGAACAUUCCUCUCUGCUCUUUCCUCGAUCGCCUAGCUCCUUUCUACCGUGAAUGGGAGUCUAUAACCUCAGAUGCCUGGGUUCUUCGCAUUGUCAGAGACGGCUAUGCCUUGGAAUUCGAAACUUUGCCCCCCACGGGUCACAUCCUUCACACCGACCCUUCACCGGAAAUAUGCUCUGAGGUCGACUCCCUUCUGGCGAAGGGCGUAAUCCAGCCUUCUCCUUCCGAGCAGGACACUCGAGGUUUCUUCUCGAGAUACUUUACGGUUCCCAAAAGGGGCGGAGGUCUUCAGCCUAUCCUCGACCUGCGAGCCUUAAACCUUUUCAUUCUGCCUUCAAAAUUUCGAAUGGUCUCGGUGGCCUCCAUUCUCCCGAUGGUCCGACACGGAGAUUACUUUGCCUCUAUAGACUUACGCGAUGCGUAUUUCCACGUCUCGGUGCGUCGAUCCCACAGACGUUUCCUUUCCUUCAAGCUCCUGGGACAGUCUUACCAGUUCACAGUUCUCCCUUUCGGCCUCGUCACGGCCCCAAGGGUCUUUACAAAGGUGGUCGCCGUGGUGGCAGCGCACCUAAGAAAACAGGGCAUAAUGGUCUUUCCUUAUUUGGACGAUUGGAUGAUUGUCGCGUCCGACCCCUCAUCCCUUCAAAACCACGUCUCUCAAGCUCUUUCUCUUCUACAACGGCUGGGCCUUCAAUUGAAUGUCGCAAAGUCCCAACUCCUCCCGGCCACAGAAAUCCGCUUCAUCGGAGCUCUCUUCAACUCCAUCGCGGAAACCGCCUCCCUACCGAAUGACAGGUUCCUAGCCCUUCAACAACACCUUUCUCUCCUCCUCCGCAACCGCAGGAUCCGAGCCCAUUCUGUCCAGGUCCUUCUGGGUCACAUGGCCUCCACGGUCAUGGUUACUCCUUUUGCCAGACUACGUCUCAGACCUCUCCAAAGAUGGUUUAUAGACUCUUUCAAACCCCAUCGGCAUCCGAGCUCAAUGUUUCUCACGGUACCGAACCAGGUUCGCCUCUCCCUUCGUUGGUGGCAGGACCCAGCGAACGUUUGUGUGGGACUUCCCUUCCAUCCCUCCCUUCCGUCAGUCACCAUCACGACCGAUGCCUCCAAUUUUGCGUGGGGAGCCCACAUGUCAAACCUCACUGUCAGGGACCUUUGGUCCAUCCAGGAGAAGUCUCACCACAUAAACUUUCUAGAACUGUUAUCAAUCUUCAAAGCCCUCCGGGCGUUUGCUCGCUUUCUUCCCCACAAGACUGUUCUGAUCCAAACGGACAACGUAGUAGCUAUGUACUACAUCAACAAACAAGGGGGUACGGGCUCGAGGAAACUGAUGGCUCUCUCGAUGGACAUUUGGCUAUGGUGCAUAGCGAGACACAUAACCCUGUCGGCGGUUCACCUUCCGGGGGCUCAAAACACGCUAGCAGACUCUCUAAGCAGAAUAACGACCUCCCCCCACGAGUGGCGUCUCGAUCCCGAGAUCCUGAAAUCCGUCUUCGACGAUUGGGGCUGGCCAGCUCUGGACCUUUUUGCCUCCCCCUCGAACACUCAACUUCCUCGCUUCGGAGCGAGACUACCUCCGAACUCGACUCCGGGCUGUCUCGGAGACGCGUUCCUCCUCGACUGGACUCUCGAGCCCGUCUAUCUUUUUCCUCCCUUCCCUCUCAUCUCGAGGGUAAUAGAGAGACUCUAUCUAACGCCGACAUCGGCCAUCCUGAUUGCCCCUGCAUGGCCACGCCAGCCGUGGUACCCAACUCUACUCCGGAUGUGUGCGGAUCCUCCCCGCACUCUCCCAACUCUCCCUCAUCUACUAUCUUCACAGAGGGGACAGGUCCUCCACCCCGACGUCCCGUCCCUACACCCGACUGCCUGGAGGAUACUUCCUUAA
ensembl:lncRNA